UAGAGUUUGAUCCUGGCUCAGGACGAACGCUGGCGGCGUGCCUAACACAUGCAAGUCGAGCGAUGAAAUUCCUUCGGGAAUGGAUUAGCGGCGGACGGGUGAGUAACACGUGGGCAACCUGCCUCAAAGUGGGGGAUAGCCUCCCGAAAGGGAGAUUAAUACCGCAUAACAUUAUCUCUUUGCAUGAAGAGAUAAUCAAAGGAGUAAUCCGCUUUGAGAUGGGCCCGCGGCGCAUUAGCUAGUUGGUGAGGUAACGGCUCACCAAGGCGACGAUGCGUAGCCGACCUGAGAGGGUGAUCGGCCACAUUGGAACUGAGAUACGGUCCAGACUCCUACGGGAGGCAGCAGUGGGGAAUAUUGCGCAAUGGGGGAAACCCUGACGCAGCAACGCCGCGUGAGUGAUGAAGGUCUUCGGAUUGUAAAACUCUGUCUUUGGGGACGAUAAUGACGGUACCCAAGGAGGAAGCCACGGCUAACUACGUGCCAGCAGCCGCGGUAAUACGUAGGUGGCAAGCGUUGUCCGGAUUUACUGGGCGUAAAGAGUAUGUAGGCGGACAUUUAAGUCAGAUGUGAAAUCCCCGGGCUUAACCUGGGAGCUGCAUUUGAUACUGGGUGUCUAGAGUGUAGGAGAGGAAAGUGGAAUUCCUAGUGUAGCGGUGAAAUGCGUAGAGAUUAGGAAGAACACCAGUGGCGAAGGCGNNNNNCUGGACUAUAACUGACGCUGAGAUACGAAAGCGUNGNGNGCNNNNNGGAUUAGAUACCCUGGCNNNNNACGCC
rnacentral:rRNA from 1 species